UAUUCCAGAUUGUGGAAAACGGGGAAAUAGGUAAGCUCCUGUGGCGGGCAAACCAAUGUAGGGCUUACAUCUUCCUGUUAACGGAUCCCUCGUCCUUAAUGCAUCAGGCUGAGUAUGCUGCACACGACGCAUGGGACUACUCCGGCAGAAUGAUAAUAGUCGGCCUCAGCACAUCUCACAUCGACGCCCUCACUAGCACUAAGAAAGGCCGCAAGACUGAACACAUCCUAGGAAUCGUUCAGGACCAAUCUGGAAACUUCAUACUUUUAAUGAAUCUUCUAUACCAUAAUGAUAACCUUUCCCACGUGUUCACCUGGCGAACACCAGUCUCUCCGAAGACGAAGUACUCGACUGACCUAAUCAUCAAGACAAAAUAUGACCUUGUUACGAAACAGCCAAAGACUACGCCAAAUUUCACCAUACCGCUUUUCCCUGAGAAAACUAAGGACCUUCACGGUUUCAGUUUAAACGUGGUAUGGUUCUUGUUCUAUCCAGAGAUUAUAUAUCGUUACGGCGAAAAAGGAAACAUGGUGGUAAGAUAUGGUGGUAACGUACGGGUUGUGGAGACAGUGGCUAAAGUACUUAACUUUACUCCACGCUUUGUGGAGCCACCAACAGGUUAGUGUGUGUGUGUGUGUGUGUGUGUGUGUGUGUGUGUGUGUGUGUGUGUGUGUGUGUGUGUGUAAAUGGAGCACUGACGAAGGACAACAACAACAACAACAACAAAAAGGCUCAUUAGUGCCAGUC